UACGUAGGGUGCAAGCGUUAAUCGGAAUUACUGGGCGUAAAGCGUGCGCAGGCGGUUCGCUAAGACAGAUGUGAAAUCCCCCGGGCUUAACCUGGGAACUGCAUUUGUGACUGGCGGGCUAGAGUGUGGCAGAGGGGGGUAGAAUUCCGACGUGUAGCAGUGAAAUGCGUAGAUAUUGGGAGGAACACCAGUGGCGAAGGCGGCUCACUGGACUGGUACUGGACGCUGAGGCGCGAAAGCGUGGGGAGCAAACGGG
rnacentral:rRNA from 1 species